ensembl:lncRNA
UGUGUGUGUGUGUGUGUGUGUGUGUGUGUUCCAGCUGUGUGUCCGGAGUCACCGCGGCGGCAUGCAGGACAUCAGCGUCUUCAUUUGAUAUCAGGGAUUGUGAAGUGCUUUCUUUUCCAGUCUCACCACCCAAAUCAGACAGCUGCUCCCACCCUGGCCCUCCCUCCACGGCACCACCAGAGGGCGCUGUCACCUAACCCAUAGCACGCCUUCACUCGGCCAUCUUCUCGCCUAGCUAUCUCUAUCUCCUUCAAAGGCUCGAUUAUGUUCAAGAAACCAACAAUUCCCAUUCAAAGGCUAAGGGUAACAAGAAUAUGGGUUAUCUGAAUGUUAGGUUGAUUGCAAUUGUUUUAUAUAUCUAUAUAUCUUUAACCAUUUGAAAGGAAAAUUCUAGUAGUUUUGCUGGUGUUCACAUAAAACAUUCCAAAAUAAAAAAAUUAAAAAAUACAGAGAGACUUUUAAGUGUGCACCUGUUUCAGCUGUUCCUGAAUGGCAUCUGAUUUAGUGCAGUUUUCAUGAAAUGCAGCCCCUUUUUAAUAGUGGAAAUAGAAUUUAUGUAUAUAUUUAUAUUUUUUUAAUAAAGGAAGUAUAGAACUCACUACAUUUGCUCCUGCUGGUAUGUUGAUUUGGUUCCCAUUCAGUAGAGGAAAUUCUGUGAUUUUAGUCAUCUGGGCAGAGGUACUUGACUUCACCAGGACAACACUAAAAGGUAGGGUUUGUAUUGACAAGGAAAGGCCAGAUCUACCUUACCAUUGUGCUCACAGGGUAUAUAGUUAAUGCAUGUAUAUCCACAAACCUUACUUUUUGGUUGUACGAGAAAUGUAUUGUUGAAGAGGUCUGUUUUCCAUAGAGGCUGUUAUUUGAAUGCACAUAAAUAAGGUAAAUUGUUGGUCAUCAAAUCAUCUCCACAAAUACUAAAGUUCUCUGAAUUCCAUCUUUUUUCCCUUUCUUUUCUUGUUGAUUCACUUGACUUUGUUUCUCCUGGCUUUUUUGACAUGCAACAUGCACUAUAUAAUUGAACAGCAUGAGGAAAAGGAAACGUACAUGUGUCCACAGAUUGUAAGAUCUAGUCAAGACUUUGCUGUGUAUAUGAUAAUGCCCUUUGUAUUAUAUUCAAACAGUCUUAUGUAUGAUAUAUAAAAAGAACUUAAUUCA